rnacentral:rRNA from 1 species
GUAGGUGGGCAAGCGUUGUCCGGAAUUAUUGGGGCGUAAAGCGCGCGCAGGGCGGUUCUUUAAGUCUGAUGUGAAAGCCCACGGCUCAACCGUGGAGGGUCAUUGGAAACUGGAGAACUUGAGUACAGAAGAGGAAAGCGGAAUUCCACGUGUAGCGGUGAAAUGCGUAGAGGUGUGGAGGAACACCGGUGGCGAAGGCGGCUUUCUGGUCUGUAACUGACGCUGAGGCGCGAAAGCGUGGGGAGCAAACAGGAUUAGAUACCCUGGUAGUCCACGCCGUAAACGAUGAGUGCUAAGUGUUAGGGGGUUUCCGCCCCUUAGUGCUGCAGCUAACGCAUUAAGCACUCCGCCUGGGGAGUACGGCCGCAAGGCUG